GGGGAUUUAGCUCAGUGGUAGAGCGCUUGCCUAGCAAGCUCAAGGCCCUGGGUUCAAUCCCCAGCUCCG
rnacentral:tRNA from 1 species